UACAGAGGUCUCAAGCGUUUGUUCGGAUUCAUUGGGCGUAAAGGGUGCGUAGGCGGUGCGGAAAGUCGGGUGUGAAAUCCCCCAGCUCAACUGGGGGAAUUGCGCCUGAAACUACCGUGCUCGAGGAAGGCAGAGGUACGCGGAACUUAGGGUGGAGCGGUGAAAUGCGUUGAUAUCCUAAGGAACACCGGUGGCGAAAGCGGCGUACUGGGUCUUAUCUGACGCUGAGGCACGAAAGCUAGGGUAGCGAACGGGG
rnacentral:rRNA from 1 species